AAGUCGUAACAAGGUUUCCGUAGGUGAACCUGCGGAAGGAUCAUUAACACUUUUUUCAUCCCCACUAAAUGGAAAGAGGGAAAAAAAGAAAACACCCCGGUGUUUUUUGAUUUUUUCCUUUUUUUUCCAAAACCCCACUUUUUGUGUGCACUUGUGAAAAAGAAAGGAAAGGAAAGGAAAGGAAGGAAGGGAAAGGAAAGGAAACUUUCUAUUCUAUUCUUUUCUAUUCUAUUCUUUUCUUUUUUGAUUUUCUUAUCUUUCUUCAAAACCCCUUUUUUUAUCAUUUUAAUGCUAUAGACUGAAAAACUCGAGAUCCAUCAUCUUUUCCAAAACCAUGGAAAAAUGAUGGCCUAGAAAUUAAUCAUAAAUACAACUCUUAGCAACGGAUAUCUAGGCUCUC
rnacentral:misc_RNA from 1 species